rnacentral:rRNA from 1 species
GACGAACGCUGGCGGCGUGCUUAACACAUGCAAGUCGAACGAAGUGGCGAACGGGUGAGUAACGCGUAAUCAACCUGCCCUUCAGAGGGGGACAACAGUUGGAAAAGGCUGCUAAUACCGCAUACUUAAUGCUGGGCUUUCGUCGGAUUGGCUAGUUGGAGGGGUAACGGCCCACCAAGGCGAUGAGCAGUAGCAGGUGUGAGAGGAGGAACGGCCCAAUUGGGACUGAGACACGGCCCAGACUCCUACGGGAGGCAGCAGUGGGGAAUCUUCCGCAAUGGACGAAAGUCUGACGGAGCAACGCCGCGGGAGUGAGGACGGCCGUCGGGUUGUAAAGCUCUGUUAAUCGGGACGCGGUACCGGAAUAGAAAGCCACGGCUAACUACGUGCCAGCAGCCGCGGUAAUUC